CUCACAGCCCCGGGGGCAGCGGAGAGAUGGUGGGCUGCGGAACAUGUGCUGGCCUCGGGCCACAUGUCUGCCGACCAUCACCUUUAGGUCUGUCUCCCUGGCCU
rnacentral:pre_miRNA from 1 species